rnacentral:tRNA from 1 species
AGGAAUGUAGCUCAGUGGUAGAGUAUGUGCCUCAGAUGUAUAAAACCCUGGGUUUGAUGCCUGGCACCACUA